rnacentral:lncRNA from 1 species
GAAUGAACUAAAGAAAAAACAGACUUUGCACGACUCUCAAUACUACGGGGAAAAGAGGCGCGGGUAUGUUUCCCGAGCUGACAUGACUCACGCUCUACUGUGGAUAAGCUAGACAAACUAGGCACCAUCUUCUGAAGCUUCGACAAGCUAAGAUGUCCUAAACGACUGUGAAGUAGGUCUGGAUGAUCUGCAACUAGACAGGCCUUGGAGGAUGUUAGUGAGUUAAGGUAGUAGAGUCCUUCUGAUU